rnacentral:rRNA from 1 species
UACGUAGGGUCCGAGCGUUGUCCGGAAUUAUUGGGCGUAAAGGGCUUGUAGGCGGUUCGUCACGUCGGAAGUGAAAUCUCAGGGCUUAACCCUGAGCCUGCUUCCGAUACGGGCGGGCUGGAGUAUGGCAGGGGAGACUGGAACUCCUGGUGUAGCGGUGGAAUGCGCAGAUAUCAGGAGGAACAGCCGGUGGCGAAGGCGGGUCUCUGGGCCAUUACUGACGCUGAGGAGCGAAAGCGUGGGGAGCGAACAGG